rnacentral:rRNA from 1 species
GACGAACGCUGGCGGCGUGCUUAACACAUGCAAGUCGAACGCUGAACCCGCUUCGGUGGGGGAUGAGUGGCGAACGGGUGAGUAACACGUGGGCAACCUGCCCCCGGCUCUGGGAUAACUCCAAGAAAUUGGGGCUAAUACCGGAUGUGACCGCUGGCCGCAUGGGCUGGUGGUGGAAAGGGUUUCCGGCGGGGGAUGGGCCCGCGGCCUAUCAGCGUGUUGGUGGGGUAGUGGCCUACCAAGGCGACGACGGGUAGCCGGCCUGAGAGGGUGACCGGCCACACUGGGCCUGAGACACGGCCCAGACUCCUACGGGAGGCAGCAGUGGGGAAUAUUGCGCAAUGGGCGGAAGCCUGACGCAGCGACGCCGCGUGGGGGAUGACGGCCUUCGGGUUGUAACCCUCUUUCAGCAGGGACGAAGCGCAAGUGACGGUACCUGCAGAAGAAGCACCGGCCAACUACGUG